AUUGAACGCUAGCGGGAUGCCUUACACAUGCAAGUCGAACGGCAGCGCGGACUUCGGUCUGGCGGCGAGUGGCGAACGGGUGAGUAAUGUAUCGGAACGUGCCCAGUAGCGGGGGACAACCACUCGAAAGAGUGGCUAAUACCGCAUACGCCCUACGGGGAAAGGGGGGAGUCGCAAGACCUCUCACUAUUGGAGCGGCCGAUAUCGGAUUAGCUAGUUGGUGGGGUAAAGGCCUACCAAGGCGACGAUCCGUAGCUGGUUUGAGAGGACGACCAGCCACACUGGACUGAGACACGGCCCAGACUCCUACGGGAGGCAGCAGUGGGGAAUUUUGGACAAUGGGGGAAACCCUGAUCCAGCCAUUCCGCGUGUGCGAUGAAGGCCUUCGGUUGUAAGCGACUUUUGGUCAGGAAAAGGAAAUACGUGUGGGUUAAUACCCUGCGCGGAUGACGGUACCU
rnacentral:rRNA from 1 species